GGUUUCUGAAUACUGUUUGAUAUUUUCGGUAAAUAUUCUGCAUAAGAUGAAUGUUCAAAUAUUCGUACUGAAAGGGAAGGAUGUGGCGACUUACCUUAUAUGUUUCUAUUCCAUCGCAUGAAUAAGGAUUGGUAAAUAGUUGAAAAUAGGUUGGAACAAUAUAUUUUGUAAAUAUUCGUAAACAAGGUUAAGAGACAGCUGUUGGUUGACAUCUGCCGAACUUUCGUAGUGUCGUUCCGUCGACUUACACCGAACUAGUUCUACAGUUGUUCACGGGUGAGGAUUGAUCGGUUACUCAAGUUGUCAAGGGUUGUUUUAGGGUUGCAUUGCUUUGAGAAGGAGUUUUGAUGGGUCAUGGACUUGUUGAUAUUGUCUCAAGUGGCUGUGGAGGAAUUGAUAGAUGUAUGAUGUUGUGCACAGCGCCCCCUUGGUGCUUGUAGUGUAGAUUGGACGCACUGUGGCAACAACUGGUUAGCUGUCAGAUGUGGCAGUCUCCUUAGUAUUCGGAAGUUGGCUUUCGAUGAGUUUGGUUCGGAGUUCAAAGCGUACCAUCAGACUGAUUGUAGGAUAUAUUUGGUUGUAUUUGUGCCAUCCUUCACGGGUAUUAUUUCUACAAGUCAGGAUUGUAUAGUGGAAGACUGAUUGGCCAUUUUGGUGUGGAUAUUUGCAGUCUGAAACUUAAGCUCUUUUGAGGAUUUGUGGUGGUUACCGAACUCGUGCCAGAUGGAAGGAUUUCCGAAAUUAGAUUCAUAAGAAACAGAAGGCCCUCAGUCACUCAUCAAGUCCCAGUAGGACUUCCGUGCAGAGCACCGCACACGAAGAAACGUAUA